GGGCUGGCUUUGCAGCAUUUAUACUAAAAUUGGAAAGAUACACAGAAACGUUAUGGCCGCUGUGCAAGGAUGACACAGAAACUCAUGAAGCAUUCCAUAUUAAA
ensembl:snRNA U6 U6 spliceosomal RNA